rnacentral:rRNA from 1 species
GUAUCCCUACGGGACGCAGCAGUGAGGAAUAUUGGUCAAUGGCCGGAAGGCUGAACCAGCCACGUCGCGUGAGGGAAUAAGGCCCUAUGGGUCGUAAACCUCUUUUGUCAGGGAGCAAAGGCGUCCACGAGUGGACGAAAGGAGAGUGCCUGAAGAAAAAGCAUCGGCUAACUCCGUGCCAGCAGCCGCGGUAAUACGGAGGAUGCGAGCGUUAUCCGGAUUUAUUGGGUUUAAAGGGUGCGUAGGCGGAGUGUCAAGUCAGCGGUAAAAUUUCGGGGCUCAACCCCGUCGUGCCGUUGCAACUG